CAACUUUCAGCAACGGAUCUCUUGGCUCUCGCAUCGAUGAAGAACGCAGCGAAAUGCGAUAAGUAAUGUGAAUUGCAGAAUUCAGUGAAUCAUCGAAUCUUUGAACGCACCUUGCGCCCCUUGGUAUUCCGAGGAGCAUGCCUGUUUGAGUGUCAUUA
rnacentral:rRNA from 2 species